AGAGCUGACUACCAGUGGGGAAGAAUCUCUCUGGAAAUCUGCUCCAUCACAGUUCAUCUCACAAGCCCAGGAUAGGUGAUACAGUUGCUGGGAUCCUCUGAAAGCUGAUACAAAGCCUGAGCUGUAGCUCUAUGGACCAAUGGAUCAUUUGACUUCAAGUAGUGUACUAAAGGAGCUACUGCCUUGUUCUCUCCAAAGCAAAUUGACUAUAAGCUCCAAGCCACCCACGAAGGACCGAACCAUUUCUCCUGCAUCCUAAAUAAGAAUAAAAGGAAACAUUAUUUUAGAA